GAUGAACGCUGGCGGCGUGCCUAAUACAUGCAAGUCGAGCGAACGGACGAGAAGCUUGCUUCUCUGAUGUUAGCGGCGGACGGGUGAGUAACACGUGGAUAACCUACCUAUAAGACUGGGAUAACUUCGGGAAACCGGAGCUAAUACCGGAUAAUAUUUUGAACCGCAUGGUUCAAAAGUGAAAGACGGUCUUGCUGUCACUUAUAGAUGGAUCCGCGCUGCAUUAGCUAGUUGGUAAGGUAACGGCUUACCAAGGCAACGAUGCAUAGCCGACCUGAGAGGGUGAUCGGCCACACUGGAACUGAGACACGGUCCAGACUCCUACGGGAGGCAGCAGUAGGGAAUCUUCCGCAAUGGGCGAAAGCCUGACGGAGCAACGCCGCGUGAGUGAUGAAGGUCUUCGGAUCGUAAAACUCUGUUAUUAGGGAAGAACAUAUGUGUAAGUAACUGUGCACAUCUUGACGGUACCUAAUCAGAAAGCCACGGCUAACUACGUGCCAGCAGCCGCGGUAAUACGUAGGUGGCAAGCGUUAUCCGGAAUUAUUGGGCGUAAAGCGCGCGUAGGCGGUUUUUUAAGUCUGAUGUGAAAGCCCACGGCUCAACCGUGGAGGGUCAUUGGAAACUGGAAAACUUGAGUGCAGAAGAGGAAAGUGGAAUUCCAUGUGUAGCGGUGAAAUGCGCAGAGAUAUGGAGGAACACCAGUGGCGAAGGCGACUUUCUGGUCUGUAACUGACGCUGAUGUGCGAAAGCGUGGGGAUCAAACAGGAUUAGAUACCCUGGUAGUCCACGCCGUAAACGAUGAGUGCUAAGUGUUAGGGGGUUUCCGCCCCUUAGUGCUGCAGCUAACGCAUUAAGCACUCCGCCUGGGGAGUACGACCGCAAGGUUGAAACUCAAAGGAAUUGACGGGGACCCGCACAAGCGGUGGAGCAUGUGGUUUAAUUCGAAGCAACGCGAAGAACCUUACCAAAUCUUGACAUCCUUUGACAACUCUAGAGAUAGAGCUUUCCCCUUCGGGGGACAAAGUGACAGGUGGUGCAUGGUUGUCGUCAGCUCGUGUCGUGAGAUGUUGGGUUAAGUCCCGCAACGAGCGCAACCCUUAAGCUUGGUUGCCAUCAUUAAGUUGGGCACUCUAAGUUGACUGCCGGUGACAAACCGGAGGAAGGUGGGGAUGACGUCAAAUCAUCAUGCCCCUUAUGAUUUGGGCUACACACGUGCUACAAUGGACAAUACAAAGGGCAGCGAAACCGCGAGGUCAAGCAAAUCCCAUAAAGUUGUUCUCAGUUCGGAUUGUAGUCUGCAACUCGACUACAUGAAGCUGGAAUCGCUAGUAAUCGUAGAUCAGCAUGCUACGGUGAAUACGUUCCCGGGUCU
rnacentral:rRNA from 1 species